UCUUGGCACCGCUCCACCCCCUCAGGUCGUGCCCUGCGCUGCGGGUGCUAUCCGCCGGGCCGCCGUUCCCGAAUUCGGUAGCUCGUAGCUAGAUCUUGUCUCGGUGCACCACACUACUCAUCUGUUAACGCACCUCCAGGACAGUGACCCCACCGCCUCCCUGGGCAGCUCGUGCCAACGCUUCGCAGCCCUCCGUGUGGAAAAAGUUUUCCUACUGUCCAACCUGACCCUCCCCAGGCACAAUUUGAGGCCGUAAGCUAAAAAAAAAAAAAAAAAAAAAAAAAAAGAUUCCCUCAGGGAAAGGGAAGCCGUGCACCUGCCUUGGAGCACUUUGUCCCAGGCUGUGCUGUGAGAAGAGCAGCAGUGCAGUGGGGAAGUCUCAGAGAUGUGCCCAGAGCAGGAGCAACUUGCACAGCUGCCAGCCCUUCCCGGUGGGUUUCCAGGCAGGAGCAAAGAAAUGGCUGCUGAGAUAUAUUACAUGGAAUGGGAACCUGGACUACCUCCUGCACAAAGCUGCUGAGGAAAAGCAUAUGAGUUAGAGAUGCUUCUGAGUUUUCAUAUGGACCGAACAGGAUUCAGUGCAGAACCCACAGGUGUGGAUUUACUGGAGGGCUCACAGAAGGUGAUUCCAACAGAUGCCAGCUGUGACCCUCCUGCUACUGUAAGGCUGUACGGCCAAGAAGUGCUGAGUCAGGAGGAAGUGAAAAUUAACUCCAGGUUGUCUGGACAUCCAGAAGCCCUGAGGAUUUCAGGAGUAUCAAAGGCUGAGGAUGUUUGUAGACUAAACAACUCCAGCAAUUGCAUCAAAUGAGAAAAGUAGUUUUCCUCCUUCAGAGUAACAGCUGAAUGACAGAGAAGUCCAAAGAAGCAAAAUGGGAUCUGAUGUGAAAAGUUUGGGUGUAACCCAUUGUGUUGCUCAUCGCUGACAGCCUCAGGACCCUGUGCCUACCUUCAGCCUGUAGAGAGACCCAGGUAUGUAUUAUUCUGCUCAGCAGCAGGUUUUGGAUUCUUUAUCAUUUUGCCCAGUAGUAAAUGUUUGUUUGGUUGUUUGCUUAUCAGAAGAAGAUAAAGUUUCUUCCUCUGAUUUAAUCUUUGGUAGUUGGUGUCUGGUGAAAAAUGAAUUGUUCUUUUACUACUCAGAGGUGCACCAGUCAGGUGUACACAUAUGGGUCAGUGUUCUACCUGGUAGUUGAUUUUAUACACAUGAGCUGAAUCAAGGAGAUGAAUAACUGUCCAAUAGAAUGGAAUGUCUGACUCUAAGGGGUCUCUGUAGUCAAUAUAUUUUAAAUGAUUGAUGAUAAAAUAUUUUGCUGUUUUUAGAACAGGUUUCUUUUAGUCAAUAACACACCUUAUACUUUUGUCUACCAUAACUAUAGAGACCCAGAAGAAUUGUCAUGUGAUAUUUAAUAUAAUAUUAGCACAUUUUUGUUCAGAAUAUUUUAUUUCAGUUGCUCAGUUCCACCUUUAUUUUACUGCUGGUAGAGUCAUCUCAUAUAAACACUUUUACCAACAAAUUUGCUGUGAUGACAAAAGCAUUCCUGUUGCUUCUCUCUGUGUGUUUCUUUACAUCUCAUUAAGCAUCUUCUCAUACUUUCUCUUAGGGUUUUGAAGAAAUGCUAGGGAGUAUUCUCAUCCAGUGUUGUACAUUUGUUAUUGUUUUGUUUUUUUAAAUGAUACUGCUCUUCCGUAUAGAAGGAGGAGACGUUUCCUUCCUAUGUGUUCUGCAAGGACUGGAAGGAGCUACCUGUGCUGGGGAAGGAAAUGAUUGAACUGCAGGCAGGGACAAAAACAAGCAGUCCACUAUAUUCCAUUUUUUGGGUGAGAAAGCAAGUGCGAGAUUUAGAAGAAGGAGGAAGUGAAAGGGGGGAAAAAUGUAACAGUCUUCAAAGUUUAAGUGCACAUUGGCACAACCGCCACGUUCUUUGUCACAGUGCUGGGGUAACUGCUGCUGCAACAUCAGUGACUUGUUAUAAAUGUUCCACUGUUAAACAGGAAGUGCUAUUAGUGUUUUCUGAUUUGACCUCAUUCUAAUGAAUAAUGUUGGAAAAUGAUACACUCAUAUCUAGUGAUUGUGUUUACAACUGCUACCUUAAAGGAUGUCAUCACUUGCUCAGUACACCUAGUACCAAUGGCUAGUGGUGUUACCUCUAACAAAGGCACUCAAUAACAGCCUCUGGUAGAAUCAAAAUUCAGGCUUUAUUGUCUCAGUCUUCACUUUGAAGAACACUGAUUGUAUUGGCAUUUUCCAGCUCAUGUCAAAGAAGGUCUACUCAUUUUUAUGAAGGUGCUUGAAAUUCUUUACUCACACACUGGAAUUCUCUCCAUUAACCAGAAGACUUUUACAUAUGGGAUCUAUUACAAGGCAUGAUUUUUUUUCUGAGGGACAUUGCCUUUGAAUGGAAAACUGCUUUCAUUUAACUGUACAAUACAGACAUGCUGAGCAUGUUGCCCUGCCCUGUUUUAGUGUUUCAUUACAGGACUGUCUUUCUAAAACAGUGUAUGUUUUGAUGUUGUUGACUCAUUAGCACAUACUUAGUACUGGGUCCAUGUCUAAAGCAAAGAGACAGUUCUGCUGUGUGACAGCGAGGUGAAAGUUAAAUCCAGGUACAAAUCAUGGAAAUUGAUCUUUUGGAAGCUCAGCACCACAUUCAGCAGUGGCAAGAGAGCUCUACUGAAGUAAUUUUGAGCAGAGAUGUUUUUCACAUUUAUCUCAAACCUUACUGGCUGUAGAUUCCUGUUCUUAAAAUGAUCAUAGUCAUUGCCAAGUUAUGAUAAAUAGUCCUACCAGCUAGAGAGAAAAGCACGCUGGUUUGGAACAGUCUGUAUUUUUAUGUCUAAAAACUCACAUCCAGAAAAGAUCCCAGGGUGUUACAAGCCUAGAAAUACUGGUGGAUGGGAAGUUCAACACAAGCCAACAAUGUGCUCUCACAGCUGGCAUUAGUUCAUACAAUGUCCCUCCAAGGACUAAUGAUGACAAUAUUUGACAUCAGUUAUUUUCAGGUGCCAAUCACUUCCAGUUACUUAAGAAUUUCUCACAGGAGUAUGACGCUAAGAAAUUAACUCUUUUCCAUUGAAUAUUUAUUCUGUGGUAUUCUGUUAAUGAUGUAAGUUUUAACUACUGUUUGUGAAAGGCUUUACUGAGGAAAUUCCCACCAAGACAACCUCCUUUUCUGAAAGGGGGAUGCUGGAUUCCAAAACACAGCGGAGUCAACAGGGCUUUGGAAACUCUCUUGCAACCUUACUCUUCUGCAUUUGCUUUUCACAGAUAUGCUUCUAAUGUCUUCAAAAAGUUGUUCACUAUAAAAGAAAAUGCUCCAUGUCAUAUCUAAAACACUGAGGUCGCUUGGGAAGUCUUGUGUCUUUCCACUCAUCUGUCACAUUUUUUGUUUGAUAUGUUUUGAUGAAAGGCUGCAUUCUCCAUUGUCAUUUAAAAAGCCAUUUGCCACCUUCUGAAUCACAAGGGAGAGGCAAGAGAAGUCCUUAAGACUCCUUUUUGCAGAUACACAGAUAGGAACAGGUACCUGGGCUUCUUUAGGUCCAUUUCCAUGUUCUUGGAACACACGCUCCUGCUCUGUGCAUGUCCUGUUGACUGACUGUGCAGGCACAUGUAGUGCUUCAUGUCAACUCCAGCUGAGCACUCUGCACACAGUAAUUGCUACAGUUCAUUCAGGCUAAGGGUCCCUCUGACAGUAGUUGGUGACAAGUGCAAUAGAGAAGGGUGUAAGAGCCAGGAGAAGCAGUAAUGGCCUUAAGUUAUGCCACGGAAGGUUCAGGGUGGAUAUUAGGAAACAUUUCUUCUCAGAAAGAGCGGUGAGACAGUGGCACAGGCUGUCCAGAGAGGUGGUGGAGUCACCAUCACUGGAAGUGUUCAAGAAACAUGGAGAUGUAGCACUCAGAAAUGUGGUCAUUGGGCAUGGUGGGGAUGGGCUGGCAGUUGGACAUUAUGAUUUAGUGGUCUUUUUCAACCUUAAUGAUUCUCUGACUCUGUACAGCAAUAUUUCCACCAAGACACCAGCUCAAUGAUUCUUGAGCAUUUCUGUGUUUAAACACCUUGGUGUGUUAAUGGGCCCUGGCAAACCUUCCUUCCCUAAUUGAGUUGAUUUCCUCUGGAAGCAGUUUAAAUGAUUGACCUCCAGCAGCUGGUGGUAAUGAGUUCUGCAGCCAAAUUACAAACAAUAUGAAGUAAUCAUUAAUUUCAUUUUAAACCCACUACCCAGUAAUUUUACAGUGUGCCUCAUCACAAUGCUGUAGAAGGACUAACAAAUAAACAUUCACUGCCAUUUAUCUUAUUUUAUGCUGGCCUUCUCCUGAUGCUGAGGAGCAGUGUCCUUGUUUGUCUCUCCUUGGAAGCUCUUCCUUACCAUGGAGCAUUUGGCUGCUCUUAUCUGUACAGCUUUUAUUUUUAUUAUGCUACUGCUAGUAUGCCAAAUGACAGCAGAACUUGGAAAAUCACGUGUUAGGAAGCAGCCUUUCUCUUUAACAAGACAUUCAAAACUGAUCUUUUUGCAUAAAGAUUACCAAUAUCGUACAUAAACUCACAAAUAGUGUCAUACAUAGAACUAUUUUCUCACAGUCUGAGAUCUGUUAAAUAAUACUCUUCCUAUUUAAUGUAUGUAGAGAUACAGAUAAUAAGAGAUACAUUCCUGUGCCAUGGUGUACAAAUGCACAUUAAUGAGGGCUGGAGAGAAAGAGAGGGAGAGAGCCAGAGAUUUUCAGCAACUAGCAUGAAGAAGAUCAAGGGGAUGCCAAAAUUACUGGAAGAAAGAAGAGAAUUGAAGAUGAGAAGAAAUUAGGGUAACGUGUGGAUAUAAGAGCCCAAGAGCAAAAGUAUGUCCAUGAUGUGAGUGAUAUGAUGAUAGAGAUAAUGUCUUUCUUAAAAUCAGUUCUUAGACAUAGGGAUUGGAUUUGAGGUGGUGCUGCGUGGAGCCAGGAACUGGACUCAGUGAUCCUUGUGGGCUCCUCCUUCCAGCUCGAGAUGACUUGUGUUUAUAUGAUUCUGUGUUGACAGGGAGCACACAGGGCAGCUUGUGGCCUUUCACACUAUUCCAUUGUUGGUUUGCAGGAAUGUAAAUGGUUACUCAGUGCCAAAUUAUUUUUCUCUCUAACACUAGGGGCUUUUUAUUUCUGUCUUGACAAGCUGCUUGUAAAAUGUACUGCUGCAUGGUUGUAUUUAUAGCAGAUUGCCUGAGCUAUGAAUGGCGAAACGUUUCAUAAAAGACAGGCCAAUAACAUGCAAAUGGUAGAGUUGUUUUCUUACUGCUAAAAAGAAAGGUUGGUUUUGCGUAUCAGCACAGAGGAAAUUGAUGCUGUCACUUACAGAUGCAUCCAUCUUAUUUCAAAUCUCUGGGAACAGUAAAGAGAGAAAAGCCGGAGAUUAAAAGACAGAGUCCAGUGAUCCAAAUGAAAAAUACAGUAGUCUCUGAUGCAUAAUAAUAAUGAUGGGGCUGCUUGGGGUACUUUGAAUCCUGUGAGCUUCAUGUUUUUUCCAUUACAAAAGAAAGACUGUUCACCAUUUUUCGUAUUAAAAAGCUGCUGUGUUUCUGUGCUCCGUGGUGAGUAUGAGAGAUGGAGACAGGAACUAAAACUGACAUUUACUCUGCUUUCAGCUGAGCAAUCUGGGUUCCACUGCAGCCAAUAGCAAUGGCUGAUUAUUUUUUUAAUAAAUGAUUAUGUUUAUUAUUUUUGUUCGCAUUUACUGUUCAUAGCUGGAAUUGCAUAUAAACCUUCUGUAGACAAUAGUAUAGUCACCACUGCAGAGACUUCAUGAAGGAGUGAAGACUACAGAGACUGUCACACUCAUCCUAGCCCUCAUGCUGCAAUUUGCAAUAGUGCUUGGGCUUUAGAUAGGUCCUCUGGAUAAGCAGUGAGGGACAGCCCUCCUGAAAUUUCUUCAGAAAAAAGAGACAAGCAAAGUGCAAGUGACAUUGUCCUCACUUCAUGGCCUCUGCCGCCUCACAGUCAGAAUUGUGCAGAGCAGCUCUGCUCUGGCAGCUCACUUGGAAUCAGAUGCUGAUGCCUACUUGAUGCCCAAUUAAACUGGAACAAAUGCAUCUCCAUUAAGCAGAAGUACUCACUGUUGAUUGAUUAAGCACCCUUCUCUGUUAGGGGGCAAAUUCAGACUACCAUUCUCCCCACUAAAGCAAGCUUGACAGUACAUCUAAACAUAGAACAUUUGUGAUUAUAAUUCUUCAGCAAGUUCUCACAGAAGCUGCAGAGCUUAAAAACUGCAGUAGAUGAGGUCCACAGGGCAUGAAAUACACAUACAGGGCAUUUUUGUUAACCAUUAGCACUUACAAAGCGUUUUUGGAAGAAGAAAUGUGCCAAAUAUGACCAUUACUAUUAACAAUCCUUUCUUUCUUCACGUCCUUGUUAAUAAUGCUUACAGAUUUGUUCUGGGGCCUAAGUGAAGCACUUGUUUGGUUUUCAUGUUGUAGAAUCAUAGAAUCAUACACUGUCUUGGGUUGGAAGAGACCUUGAAGACCAUCUAGCUCCAAUCCCCUUGCCAUGGGCAGGGUUGCUGACUUAGUAGUCAGGCUGCCUAGGAUCCCAUCAAAGAAUCAUAGAAUUGCUCAGGUUGGAAAAGACCUUCAAGAUCAUCGAGUCCCAUCAAGUUUGGCCUUGAGCAUCUUGAGGGAUGGAGCACCCACAGCUCUGAGCAGCAAUGCCAGGGCCUCACUGCCCUCCAAGUGAAGAAUUUCUUCCUUACAUCUAAUCUAAAUCUCCCCUCUUUCAUUUUAAAUCCAUUCUCUUUUGUCCUAUCAAUAUCUACCUGUGUAAAGUUUCAUUAGUGAAAUAUUAAGUACAGCUAAAUAAUCUUGCUCAUACUUUCAGGACUGGUUUGUUUUCAUCCGGGCUUUGUUAUCUGUUGAAUGUGAUGUGGAAGACCUCCUCUUUAUGCGUCAAGUGAAGGGCUUCAUGACAAUGUAUUAUUUAAGGUACACGAGACGAUGUGAAGCAUGAGACCAGAUAUUUCAGAGAAACUACUUGAAGAGUAAACAUUAACAGAAUUUUGGGGCUGUAAAAAGGUUUUGCAGAAAUUCCAUGUAGCCAAGCUUGGAAAUAUUCAUUUAUA